UGGAAUCUAACAUGUGUGCGAGUGUUAUCUAACAUGUGUGCGAGUGUUUAUUGUUCUUCAACGAGGAAUCUAACAUGUGUGCGAGUGUUUAUGCUCUAACAUAUGUGCGAGUGUUUACAUUCGCUCUUCAACGAGGAAUCUAACACGUAUGCGAGUGUUAUCUAACGUGUAUGCGAGUGUUACAUGUGUGUGAGUGUUCUAACAUAUGUGCGAGUGUUUAUUGCUCUUCAACGAGGAAUCUAUCGCUCUUCAACGAGGAAUCUAUCGCUCUUCAACGAGGAAUCUUCGCUCUUCAACGAGGAAUCUAACAUAUGUGCGAGUGUUUAUUGCUCUUCAACGAGGAAUCUUGGUCAUUUAGAGGAAGUAAAAGUCGUAACAAGGUUUCCGUAGGUGAACCUGCGGAAGGAUCAUUACCAACCUUUGGUGAGCCUUGGACUCUUCCAUGGUCUCGCRAARCACUGUAUUUAAAACCCGCUCAUAUAACUAAAAACAUGURGUUAACGUAUGAUAAUUAAAAAGAUCACUUUCAACAACGGAUCUCUUGGCUCUCGCAUCGAUGAAGAACGUAGCGAAGUGCGAUAAGUAGUGUGAAUUGCAGAAUUCCGUGAAUCAUCGAAUUUUUGAACGCAAAUUGCACUUCCUGGUAUUCCGGGGAGUAUGCCUGUUUGAGGGUCAGCUUAAAUAAAAUCGGUAUGUUGCUUUUGACAUUUCGGAGUUGGGCUAUCAUAACUACACCAGGUUAAGAGGCCUGAAAUUCAUAUCUUUUUGCGCAUCCUGGACGUGUAUAAUUCAUUUAUCCGUCUUUGGGUGUCAAAUUUUAUUAGGUAUGGUCAUGCAUUGUGAACUCGUACCCACAAUUUUUCGUAAUUUGACCUCAAAUCAGGUAGGGAUACCCGCUGAACUUAAGCAUAUCAAUAAGCGGAGGAA
rnacentral:rRNA from 1 species